AACGAACGCUGGCGGCAUGCCUAACACAUGCAAGUCGAACGAGAUCUUCGGGUUUAGUGGCGCACGGGUGCGUAACGCGUGGGAAUCUGCCCUUUGGUUCGGAAUAACAGUUGGAAACGACUGCUAAUACCGGAUGAUGACGAAAGUCCAAAGAUUUAUCGCCAGAGGAUGAGCCCGCGUAGGAUUAGCUAGUUGGUGUGGUAAAGGCGCACCAAGGCGACGAUCCUUAGCUGGUCUGAGAGGAUGAUCAGCCACACUGGGACUGAGACACGGACCAGACUCCUACGGGAGGCAGCAGUGGGGAAUAUUGGACAAUGGGCGAAAGCCUGAUCCAGCAAUGCCGCGUGAGUGAUGAAGGCCUUAGGGUUGUAAAGCUCUUUUACCCGGGAUGAUAAUGACAGUACCGGGAGAAUAAGCUCCGGCUAACUCCGUGCCAGCAGCCGCCGUAA
rnacentral:rRNA from 1 species